GAUGAACGCUGGCGGCGUGCCUAAUACAUGCAAGUAGAACGCUGAAGGAGGAGCUUGCUCUUCUGGAUGAGUUGCGAACGGGUGAGUAACGCGUAGGUAACCUGCCUGGUAGCGGGGGAUAACUAUUGGAAACGAUAGCUAAUACCGCAUGACAACAGUUAUUGCAUGAUAACUGUUUAAAAGGGGCAACUGCUCCACUACCAGAUGGACCUGCGUUGUAUUAGCUAGUUGGUGAGGUAACGGCUCAUCAAGGCGACGAUACAUAGCCGACCUGAGGGGGUGAUCGGCCACACUGGGACUGAGACACGGCCCAGACUCCUACGGGAGGCAGCAGUAGGGAAUCUUCGGCAAUGGACGGAAGUCUGACCGAGCAACGCCGCGUGAGUGAAGAAGGUUUUCGGAUCGUAAAGCUCUGUUGUAAGAGAAGAACGAGUGUGAGAGUGGAAAGUUCACACUGUGACGGUAUCUUACCAGAAAGGGACGGCUAACUACGUG
rnacentral:rRNA from 1 species